GGCCUUGUAUUCAAGGAGUGAUUAUAGAAUGCAAUUCUAUAGGGGUGGGCGAAGUAGGUUCACCAAGGCCU
rnacentral:tRNA from 1 species